rnacentral:rRNA from 1 species
AGUCGAGGGGCAUCAGUUUGGUUUGCUUGCAAACCAAAGCUGGCGACCGGCGCACGGGUGAGUAACACGUAUCCAACCUACCUCAUACUCGGGGAUAGCCUUUCGAAAGAAAGAUUAAUAUCCGAUAGCAUAUAUUUCCCGCAUGGGUUUUAUAUUAAAGAAAUUCGGUAUGAGAUGGGGAUACGUUCCAUUAGUUUGUUGGGGGGGUAACGGCCCACCAAGACUACGAUGGAUAGGGGUUCUGAGAGGAAGGUCCCCCACAUUGGAACUGAGACACGGUCCAAACUCCUACGGGAGGCAGCAGUGAGGAAUAUUGGUCAAUGGACGCGAGUCUGAACCAGCCAAGUAGCGUGAAGGAUGACUGCCCUAUGGGUUGUAAACUUCUUUUAUAUGGGAAUAAAGUGGUCCACGUGUGGACUUUUGUAUGUACCAUAUGAAUAAGGAUCGGCUAACUCCGUGCCAGCAGCCGCGGUAAUACGGAGGAUCCGAGCGUUAUCCGGAUUUAUUGGGUUUAAAGGGAGCGUAGGCGGAUUGUUAAGUCAGUUGUGAAAGUUUGCGGCUCAACCGUAAAAUUGCAGUUGAUACUGGCAGUCUUGAGUGCAGUAGAGGUGGGCGGAAUUCGUGGUGUAGCGGUGAAAUGCUUAGAUAUCACGAAGAACUCCGAUUGCGAAGGCAGCCUGCUAAGCUGCAACUGACAUUGAGGCUCGAAA